UUCAGAGGCGGGUGAGCACAAGGAAACACCUUUCGCUGAUGAAGGAGGAAUAUGAAGCAGCAGUUGCAGAGGUGAAGAGGAAGAGGAGUAUUUGCCAGGAAAACUAGGAUGGACCCUUCCCAGUAUACAUACAGGGAGGAUGUAAAAGUCAAAAACUUCCGUCAAAAUUAAGGCCAACACCAAGAAAGAAAAACCAGUCCUCUCAGACAUCACGACAUUGCCCCAGAGAGGAACCCAGGAUUCUCACACCAUGACACCAUCCCCAUCUGUUUCUCCAGCCACAUUUGGACAUGGAUCUGGCAGCCUAAGGUUUUCAUAUGAAGUCAAAUGAUCAAUUCUGCAAGAGAAGAAUAUCACUUUAAUCCAAAGCAAUAGUCAAAUGGUUGUCUUAUUUUGUUCCCGCCCCACAAUUUUAUUAUUUUUCUUGAGCCCUGAGCUGCUUUUUUAUUAUUUUGAAUUAGUGUUUAAUUUUUUGUCAAAUGUUUAUAUCUAUUUCCAUUUUUCAUUCCUUCCUACUUGGCUAGAACCAUCAAGUUUUAUAAUUACAUCUUUUAU
rnacentral:lncRNA from 10 species